UGCGUAGGUUGAUUGGUAAGUCAGUGGUGAAAUACUCCGACUCAAUCGGAGAACUGCCGUUGAUACUAUCAAUCUUGAAUACGGUGGAGGCGGGCGGAAUGCGUCAUGUAGUAGUGAAAUACUUAGAUAUGACGCAGAACACCUAUUGCGAAGGCAGCUCGCUACACCGGCAUUGACACUGAGGCACGAAAGCGUGGGGAUCAAACA
rnacentral:rRNA from 1 species